AAUGAUUGGAAAGACCGUCGUCGUUCUGGCCCUUGUGGCUAUCGCCGCAGCUGCUCCCUCACAGCCCGCCUACGGCUAUACCCCAGAACCGAAAUACGAGGAACCUGCCAAUUACGACUUUAACUACGCCGUUAAGGACGACUACUCCGGCAACGACUUCGGUCACCAGGAGGCCCGUGAUGGCUAUGACACCCAGGGAGGCUACUACGUCCUCCUUCCCGACGGUCGUCUGCAGAAAGUCGCCUACACCGUCAACGGAGACUCUGGCUACGUGGCUGAGGUCAGCUACGAGGGCGAGGCCCAGUACCCCGAGUACAAGCCCGCCCCAGCAUACAAACCAACGCCUGCUUACGCCUAAUAAA